rnacentral:rRNA from 1 species
GGUUAAGCGACUAAGCGUACACGGUGGAUGCCCUGGCAGUCAGAGGCGAUGAAGGACGUGCUAAUCUGCGAUAAGCGCCGGUAAGGUGAUAUGAACCGUUAUAACCGGCGAUUUCCGAAUGGGGAAACCCAGUGCGACUCGUCACACUAUCAUUAACUGAAUCCAUAGGUUAAUGAGGCGAACCGGGGGAACUGAAACAUCUAAGUACCCCGAGGAAAAGAAAUCAACCGAGAUUCCCCCAGUAGCGGCGAGCGAACGGGGAGGAGCCCAGAGCCUGAAUCAGCAUGUGUGUUAGUGGAAGCGUCUGGAAAGGCGCGCGAUACAGGGUGACAGCCCCGUACACAAAAGCGCAUGUGCUGUGAGCUCGAUGAGUAGGGCGGGACACGUGGUAUCCUGUCUGAAUAUGGGGGGACCAUCCUCCAAGGCUAAAUACUCCUGACUGACCGAUAGUGAACCAGUACCGUGAGGGAAAGGCGAAAAGAACCCCGGCGAGGGGAGUGAAAAAGAACCUGAAACCGUGUACGUACAAGCAGUGGGAGCACCCUUCGUGGGUGUGACUGCGUACCUUUUGUAUAAUGGGUCAGCGACUUAUAUUCUGUAGCAAGGUUAACCGAAUAGGGGAGCCGGAGGGAAACCGAGUCUUAAUUGGGCGUUAAGUUGCAGGGUAUAGACCCGAAACCCGGUGAUCUAGCCAUGGGCAGGUUGAAGGUUGGGUAACACUAACUGGAGGACCGAACCGACUAAUGUUGAAAAAUUAGCGGAUGACCUGUGGCUGGGGGUGAAAGGCCAAUCAAACCGGGAGAUAGCUGGUUCUCCCCGAAAGCUAUUUAGGUAGCGCCUCGUGAAUUCAUCUCCGGGGGUAGAGCACUGUUUCGGCUAGGGGGCCAUCCCGGCUUACCAACCCGAUGCAAACUGCGAAUACCGGAGAAUGUUAUCACGGGAGACACACGGCGGGUGCUAACGUCCGUCGUGAAGAGGGAAACAACCCAGACCGCCAGCUAAGGUCCCAAAGUCAUGGUUAAGUGGGAAACGAUGUGGGAAGGCCCAGACAGCCAGGAUGUUGGCUUAGAAGCAGCCAUCAUUUAAAGAAAGCGUAAUAGCUCACUGGUCGAGUCGGCCUGCGCGGAAGAUGUAACGGGGCUAAACCAUGCACCGAAGCUGCGGCAGCGACACUGUGUGUUGUUGGGUAGGGGAGCGUUCUGUAAGCCUGCGAAGGUGGCCUGUGAGGGUUGCUGGAGGUAUCAGAAGUGCGAAUGCUGACAUAAGUAACGAUAAAGCGGGUGAAAAGCCCGCUCGCCGGAAGACCAAGGGUUCCUGUCCAACGUUAAUCGGGGCAGGGUGAGUCGACCCCUAAGGCGAGGCCGAAAGGCGUAGUCGAUGGGAAACGGGUUAAUAUUCCCGUACUUGGUGUUACUGCGAAGGGGGGACGGAGAAGGCUAUGUUGGCCGGGCGACGGUUGUCCCGGUUUAAGCGUGUAGGUGUGUGUUCCAGGUAAAUCCGGUUCACUUUAACACUGAGGCGUGACGACGAGGCACUACGGUGCUGAAGCAACAAAUGCCCUGCUUCCAGGAAAAGCCUCUAAGCAUCAGGUAACAUCAAAUCGUACCCCAAACCGACACAGGUGGUCAGGUAGAGAAUACCAAGGCGCUUGAGAGAACUCGGGUGAAGGAACUAGGCAAAAUGGUGCCGUAACUUCGGGAGAAGGCACGCUGAUAUGUAGGUGAAGUGAUUUACUCAUGGAGCUGAAGUCAGUCGAAGAUACCAGCUGGCUGCAACUGUUUAUUAAAAACACAGCACUGUGCAAACACGAAAGUGGACGUAUACGGUGUGACGCCUGCCCGGUGCCGGAAGGUUAAUUGAUGGGGUCAGCGCAAGCGAAGCUCCUGAUCGAAGCCCCGGUAAACGGCGGCCGUAACUAUAACGGUCCUAAGGUAGCGAAAUUCCUUGUCGGGUAAGUUCCGACCUGCACGAAUGGCGUAAUGAUGGCCAGGCUGUCUCCACCCGAGACUCAGUGAAAUUGAACUCGCUGUGAAGAUGCAGUGUACCCGCGGCAAGACGGAAAGACCCCGUGAACCUUUACUAUAGCUUGACACUGAACAUUGAGCCUUGAUGUGUAGGAUAGGUGGGAGGCUUUGAAGUGUGGACGCCAGUCUGCAUGGAGCCGACCUUGAAAUACCACCCUUUAAUGUUUGAUGUUCUAACGUGGACCCGUAAUCCGGGUUGCGGACAGUGUCUGGUGGGUAGUUUGACUGGGGCGGUCUCCUCCUAAAGAGUAACGGAGGAGCACGAAGGUUGGCUAAUCCUGGUCGGACAUCAGGAGGUUAGUGCAAUGGCAUAAGCCAGCUUGACUGCGAGCGUGACGGCGCGAGCAGGUGCGAAAGCAGGUCAUAGUGAUCCGGUGGUUCUGAAUGGAAGGGCCAUCGCUCAACGGAUAAAAGGUACUCCGGGGAUAACAGGCUGAUACCGCCCAAGAGUUCAUAUCGACGGCGGUGUUUGGCACCUCGAUGUCGGCUCAUCACAUCCUGGGGCUGAAGUAGGUCCCAAGGGUAUGGCUGUUCGCCAUUUAAAGUGGUACGCGAGCUGGGUUUAGAACGUCGUGAGACAGUUCGGUCCCUAUCUGCCGUGGGCGCUGGAGAACUGAGGGGGGCUGCUCCUAGUACGAGAGGACCGGAGUGGACGCAUCACUGGUGUUCGGGUUGUCAUGCCAAUGGCACUGCCCGGUAGCUAAAUGCGGAAGAGAUAAGUGCUGAAAGCAUCUAAGCACGAAACUUGCCCCGAGAUGAGUUCUCCCUGAGACUUAGAGUCUCCUGAAGGAACGUUGAAGACGACGACGUUGAUAGGCCGGGUGUGUAAGCGCAGCGAUGCGUUGAGCUAACCGGUACUAAUGAACCGUGAGGCUUAACCUU